AAUUACACAAUUUCCCAUUUCUCAACUAUAAAUACCCCCUCAUUCUUUCAUUUUAAUUCACCAAUUCAUCAAUAUCUCUCAAUCUCUCUUAAUCUCUCUCAAGCUCUCUUUUAAUCUUUCUAGUGCAAGUGCUUAAUUUAUUGUUGCAAUUUAGUGACACAUUGUGAAGUUGUUGAAUUGAAGUUUUCAAGUGUUCGAUUUCAACGAUUUUCAAUUUUCAAGAAGUUGUUCGUCAAUCCGGUAAACUCGUUUCAACUCUUACGUGAUUAGAAUAUUGUUGUGUGUUGUUAUUUUGCUU
rnacentral:lncRNA from 1 species